CCUGAUUGAAGUAUGGUACACCAACAUAGACAAAAUGAUACAUAUCGGCACCCGCACCCUUAUAAAUCAAAAGGUAGAGAGCGGGCAAGCCGUUGUUUGUUCGAGUUAAAGCGCUUACGCGAGUGACUUCAUCGCCUAUUGCUAUUGUAUAUAAAUACAGAAGUCAUAUUCCCAGAUACAGAAGUAAUAUUCCCAGAAGUCUAUACAAGAGCUCCACUUUUCCAUUCUUUUCUUGUCUUGUGUUUAGGCGCCUUAGCUUUCUUUGAGUUUUGUGUAGGUUCUCUGUUGGUUUGUGGUUGGUCUAGUGUUUCCUUCCGAUUGAGUCGGGCCAGUGGGAUCACCGGUACCCCUAUUAGAUUCAAGGUGUUGGGUUCUGCUAAAGAUGUGUCUCAUCCUUCCGUAACGCUCUCUUCAAUUCCAUUCAGUUCAGUCACUCUAUCGGGUUCUGCUAAAGAUGUGUCUCAUCCUUCCUAUUGCUAUUGCCCACUAAACUCUCUAUUAGUCAAUAAUAAAUAGUCUAGAGAAGAUAAGCGGGAAGAGAAAUCAUAAAUAGUCUAGAGAGAGGGUAAGCGGGAAGAGAAAUCAUAAAUAGUCUAAAGAGGAUAUCGGGAAGGGAAAGAAUCAAUCAAGUAACUACAAAGAAUCAAUCAACUAACUACUAUAAACUAAAGGUCCGGGUGCCGAAAUCGUAACUACUAUAAACGAAAGGUCCGGGUCUAAAGCGAUUUGACCUAUCUUACUCGUGACUUUCCCUAGGAUUUGACCCAUCUUACUCGUGACUUUCCCUAGAAUAUCCGUUUCCCCAGGGCGACUCUACAUCCGGGUUCUCAGCAAACAAACCCAGAGUAGUUGACCACGGCGUAAACAACGAGAACUCUCCUAAUGCUUCUAACUCACUCAUUUCAUACUUGAACUUCCGUGUAGUUCCUUCUUGUGUUGCGGUUCAAUUCCAAAAUGCCAGGGAUAGAAAAUCAAAGGGAUGCUGUAUAGAAAGAAAUCGGGUCAUUAUUUAGGUGCUUGGUUUGCUCCUUACGCUCUACGCUCAAAGUCAAGUAUACUUUUUCCUAAGCUUGCUGAGUCAGGGUUUUUAGGUGGUAAGGAAGAAGCAUUGUUUUUAGGUAGAGUAGAGCCAGUAGUAAUGGGUCUUUUUCCCUAUGGAGCAUAUGUCUAUUCUAUUCUUAAAGCCACUCGGGGUUCUUAAAGCCACUCGGGGAACAAGCAAUCUUCUCUUCUGCUUCUGAUCCUUAUGAUUCUCUCUCUCAUGGACAAGAAAAGAAAGAUCAAGCGCCAAGAACCUAAUCUGCUCUAUACUUAAGUACUAAAUCAGCCUAAGGGAAAGCUCUCAAAUGGCAAAUUAUCUUAGUUUUACCUAUGUUCAACUCAUCUUAUGGAAAAUCCCCCAUCCAAUUCCCUAUUGGCUGUAGAAAUGCAUUUUUGCCUGAUAUCUUUGCAUGCUUAGCUUUGACCAUACCUUUGCUUUCCAACCUUUCUUUUCCUUGACUUACCCACCGCUACAAAGAAUUUCAGAAUACAUCUCCAUUUACCUGCUUCUAUAUUCCAUACUGCAUCCCUUUUCUUUUGCGUUACUUCCUAACUCGACUUAAAGCUCGUCGCUAACUAGGAUUCCACUAUCACACCACUAACUUGAAGUCAGAACUGCAACACCGUUCCAUGGGCAUUCGAAAGGAGCUUAUUAAUACAACAACACUCGCACCGCUACCGCCGAUGACAAAAACGACACUUGCCCCGAAAACGAAUAAUCUGACUUGUUUGGUUGACUGCCAGCCUUAACCCAUAAGUACUUCAGUAUAGUUCCAUUCCAGUUCGAGUAUUGUCGUAGAGAGAAGCUCUCCGUCAGUAAAGUAUCAAGUAAGUAUCGCUUAUAUAGUGGAUCUUGUAUCGUAUAUCAAAUUGUCAUCCUCAAUUCCAACUUCUUUGUCAGUGCAAUUUCCAUGAUUUUAGGCUUCUGCGCUAAGAGAUACAAAAAUCCUGUUUAUGUUCGACUUUCCCCUGUGCAAGAAAGAAAGAUUCCUGUCCUGGUGCAGGCGCAAGA
rnacentral:lncRNA from 1 species